UACGUAGGUGGCGAGCGUUGUCCGGAAUUAUUGGGCGUAAAGGGCAUGUAGGCGGCUUAAUAAGUCGAGCGUGAAAAUGCGGGGCUCAACCCCGUAUGGCGCUGGAAACUGUUAGGCUUGAGUGCAGGAGAGGAAGGGGGAAUUCCCAGUGUAGCGGUGAAAUGCGUAGAUAUUGGGAGGAACACCAGUGGCGAAGGCGCCUUUCUGGACUGUGUCUGACGCUGAGAUGCGAAAGCCAGGGUAGCGAACGGG
rnacentral:rRNA from 1 species